UCAUAGCUCAGCUGGAUAGAGCAACGGCCUUCUAAGCCGUAGGCUCAGGUUCGAAUCCUG
rnacentral:tRNA from 1 species